rnacentral:rRNA from 1 species
UGCGUAGGCGGGUAGGUAAGUCAGUGGUGAAAUCCUAGAGCUUAACUCUAGAACUGCCAUUGAUACUAUCUAUCUUGAAUAUUGUGGAGGUAAGCGGAAUAUGUCAUGUAGCGGUGAAAUGCUUAGAUAUGACAUAGAACACCCAUUGCGAAGGCAGCUUACUACACAUAUAUUGACGCUGAGGCACGAAAGCGUGGGGAUCAAACAGGAUUAGAUACCCUGGUAGUCCACGCCCUAAACGAUGAUUACUCGACAUACGCAAUACACCGUGUGUGUCUGAGCGAAAGCAUUAAGUAAUCCACCUGGGAAGUACGAUCGCAAGAUUGAA